rnacentral:lncRNA from 1 species
GUUGUUUUGAAAUGAUGGGUUCAUGCAUGGAUUCAGCCAUACCAGAUUUAUUUCAAAUGAGAACUAACCCGAUAUUUUUUAUAUUCUGGUCCAAUGACCAAAAUAUGUAUACAUCGAUCUAAAAUUAUUCCAAUUCUGUAAGACAAAACUGUUAUAAUUUAUCAAAAAAUAAUUGGGGGAAAUUUCAAUGUCACUGCUAGUGAUAUAUCAAUG